rnacentral:tRNA from 1 species
CAGGGAGACAAUAAAUUGAUUGUAAUGUUUGAGUAAUUUAUCUUAGGCUGCAAUCCUGUCACCUUAAGGUCGAUCGGUACCUCAGAUUAUUGAAUUAAUUUAAUAAUUAAUCCUUUAAUUUCAGUUCCUAAACUUGUCUAGGUCACACCCAACAAGGGUUUCUCCUGGGCCAUUAGCUCAGGUGGUUAGAGCGCACCCCUGAUAAGGGUGAGGUCCCUGGUUCAAGUCCAGGAUGGCCCAUUCGCAGUUGGGGGUAUAGCUCAGUUGGUAGAGCGCCUGCUUUGCAAGCAGGAUGUCAGCGGUUCGAGUCCGCUUACCUCCACUGAAACCUACACUGGUAACUAAAUUCCCGGAGAAAAAUUUGUAAUUGUGACCCUGUUGUCUAUUAGAAAAGAACCUAGCUUCUUAUCAUCUUUUUUAGUUGAUAAUAUGCUGGGCUCACAUGGAUUUUAUCCAUGAGAAUUCAGUAGAACCUUGAAAACUGCAUAGAUUAGAAAGAAUAAAGCAUCUCAUGGAUGCAUAAUUCUGUUUUUUAUAAAUUACCUAAAAGCUAAUUUAUAAACACAAUAGGAUUCAUGUUAAUUCUUGAGUAAUAGCCGAGCACAAUUGAUUUUGUGAUUGUAUUUAA